CCCUGGCUCAGAUUGAACGCUGGCGGCAGGCCUAACACAUGCAAGUCGAGCGGAUGAAGAGAGCUUGCUCUCUGAUUCAGCGGCGGACGGGUGAGUAAUGCCUAGGAAUCUGCCUGGUAGUGGGGGACAACGUUUCGAAAGGAACGCUAAUACCGCAUACGUCCUACGGGAGAAAGCAGGGGACCUUCGGGCCUUGCGCUAUCAGAUGAGCCUAGGUCGGAUUAGCUAGUUGGUGAGGUAAUGGCUCACCAAGGCGACGAUCCGUAACUGGUCUGAGAGGAUGAUCAGUCACACUGGAACUGAGACACGGUCCAGACUCCUACGGGAGGCAGCAGUGGGGAAUAUUGGACAAUGGGCGAAAGCCUGAUCCAGCCAUGCCGCGUGUGUGAAGAAGGUCUUCGGAUUGUAAAGCACUUUAAGUUGGGAGGAAGGGCAUUAACCUAAUACGUUAGUGUUUUGACGUUACCGACAGAAUAAGCACCGGC
rnacentral:rRNA from 1 species